CAGGUCAGCCCUGAAUUUUUGCUGUACCUACCUCAGCCUCCUGAGUGCACGGAUUAAUGGCUUCUUCAGCUCACCGGGUGAAGCUGGAACUCUCAGUGCACCGAUAGCUCCCAUCUCCCGACAGCCCAGCCCUGGUGAGCACUAUUUUACUCAGUGUCUACGGAACUAAUGGUGGCUGUCAUGCAAAUGGAACCAGAGUUUUUUUUUAUUCAACUGAAUUCAUGUUGGCCAGUGCCACAAAGCUUCAUCCACAUUCAUCCACAGAUGAGCAAGUAUCAGAGCUUCCUCCCUUAUGGAGGCUGACUGGUAUUCAGUUGUGUGUGUUUCUCCAUGUGGGAGAUCCAUACAGUGACCUGUUUUCUUCCUUCUGUUCUUUGGAGGAGGGCUUAUGUAUGUAUGCAUGUGUGUGAGCACACGUGUGUGGGUGUUUGCAUGCAUGUGGAGGCCAGAGAUCCACCUCACCUCAUUCCUCAGGUACCAUCCACUCUGUUGGCUGAGGGAGAGACUCUCACAGGCCUGGAGCUCGCCGAGUAGGCUAGGCUAGCUGCCUAAUGAGUCUCGGGGACCCAGUGCUCCAGAGUUGGGUUACAAGCACAUUAUCACCAUGCCUCACUUGUUCACGUGGCUUCUAGGGAUCACACUGGGGUCCUCAUGCAUGCCUUUUACCAAUCCUGCGAUCUUUCCCAGCCCCGUAAGCCGAAUCACUUUGAGUGCUUCAGUCUCAAGGCAUUUCAAGUUACUUGGUUGUCAUAGAAGUAUUGACAAAGCCUGCAGAAGCAGCAUUGUCCUGGCUUCCUGACAGGAACAGUGAGCAUGUCUAAAGCAGAGCCUCUCUGAAGAUGGACCUUUGCUGGAUUCACCUUCUCCAUGGAGAUCACCGGCAAGUCAACAGCCAUGCGCAAGAGACAAAAACCCAAGAAAUUCAUCACCCUGGGCAAGUCUGAGAAGUUUCUAGAACUGCAGGAGGCAUCAUUUGGGUUCAUGGGCUGAGGACUUUGGGUGUAUAAAGAAAUGAGUAAGUUGAGCACGGGCUCGCCACCCAGUGCUCUCUACUUCCUGACUGUGAGCACCAGCUGGGCUCCCAGUGCUCUCUGCUUCCUGACCGAAAACACAACGGGAACCGUGUCUCAGAUUCCUACUGCUGUGCCUUCCCCAUCAUGACUAUGUGUGUUUUCAAACCAUGCGGCAAAAUGAACUCUUGCUUUUGUUAAUAUUUUCUUACCACAAUGGGAAAAGUAACCAACCCGCACCACACAUACCCAUGGGACACAAGUCACAGGAUGUAGUCACUGUGAUUUGUGUCACUGUGGCCAAAUUAGCUUCCCCUUCAGGGAGAAAUGAUUUCUUUGGGCUCACUGCUUCGGGCAGUUCCAGGCAAAAACAUUGAGGAGACAGAACACUUGUGGAGCAGGUGCUGUUUCAUGCUUGGUAGUCAGGAGGCAGGCAGAGAGAGACAGAGACAGAGACAGAGACAGAGGGAGAAUUGGGAUAAACCCUAAACACAUGACAUCCACCCCCAACACACACACAUACACUCACACACAUACACAUACACACACACAUACACACACACACACACACACACACACACACACACAUUUCCUCCUAUGAGAUGCUACCUCCCAAAGUGUUUAGAUCCUUCCAAAGUUGUAUCAUCGAUGGGGGGUAAGGGUAGGGGGUGGGGGAUGAGGAUGGGGAGUGAGGGUGAGGGUGGGAGUGAGAGUGGAGAGUGAGGAUGGGGUGGGGGGGGAUGAGGGAAUUUGAGUCUGUGGGGAUACUGCAUCUUCAAACCAUAGUUUUGACCUAAAUGUAAAGCUUUAAAUCAUUCGACUUCUAGAAAAAAACUUUUGUUCAGCAUGGUAGGCCAUGCCUAGAAUCCUGGCACUCUGGCAUUUAGACAGUCCCGAAGCAAGGCAGGACAUUGAGCCUGGGCUAUAAACUGAGACUGUCCACAGAACAAGUGAUGCAACACACACAAACCUGGUUAAUAUGAUAGAAUACAAUCUAAAAAAUAAAAUGCAGGGUGGGGGGUAGAGGCAAGAUCAAAAGUUUGAAGUCAUCCUUGGCUACAUAGCAAAUUUGAGGCUAGCCUGGGCUAUAUGAGCUCCUAGGAGUCUCAGAAAACAACAGACAAGAAAGUCAAAAACCUCUUAAGUCUCACAUAUCCAAUGUGACUCCUUAAUGUUCACAUAUCCAAUACAGACUCAAGAUGAACUCCAGGAGGGCUUCUGCUGGCUAGAUAAGGGCUGGCAGCCCUGCGCCUGGGGGAGGAACUGCUCCCCUUACCUCUGGAAGAAGGGGCCUGUGCCUACUUGUGGUGCCUAUCAGCAAACCUAAGCGUGUGCUGGCCUCCAGUAUCACAAAUAGCAGUUACACAUUUCAAAGUCCACGCUAGCUGGCAUGUUGGCCCUUCUUUUCCUCUAGUUAUCCUUCUUCUUAUCCACAUGAUCUCUCUCUCCCUCUCUCUCUUUCUCCCUCCUCCUCUCCCUCUCUCUCUCUCUCUCUCUCUCUCUCUCCCUCUCUCUCUCUCUUUCUCCCUCCUCCUCUCCCUCUCUCUACUCUCUUUCUCCCUUCUUGAUACAUCCUAUUCUCUAUCUCUUGCUACCUUGCUAUCCCGGAUCUCCUGUAUCACUCGCUCCCCUGCCAGGCUAGCCCCAGCUAUGCCCAGCUACCUUCCUCUCUGCUGCAGUCUUUCAGAUGCCUCUGGAUAUUUAUAUCUCUUAUGCACAAUAACCCCCCCCCCAAUGGAGCAGUUACGUUGGCAGUUUCUUUACUGCACUCCCUCACAUAAACUGGAUAUUUCUAAUAGAUAAAUGCUAACACGCAUCAUUAUAGCUUAAAAGCUGUUAAAAAUAUCAAGAUACAAGCAAAGUUGAUAGUGAAUCAACUUUGAAGGAGGGCCGAAUAGGUUAGAUGGAAACAUGUUAUACUCUUUUUAAAAAAUGCUUUACAAUACAGCAAAUAUAUAUGUAUGCAUAUAACAGAAUAUUUUACCAUUAAAAUUUGAAGGUGGAGAGAUGGUUCAAUGGUUAGGAAUACUGGCUGCUCUUCCAGAGAACGGGAAUUCCCAGAACAGACAUGGCAGCUCACAACCAUCUGUAACUCCAGUUCCAGGGUAUCAACACCUUCUCUGGCCUCCUCAGGCACCAGGCAUGCACAUGUCCCACAUAUUUACACACAGGUAAAACACCUGAACACAUGAAAUAAUUUAUGGGGCCCCAGCAUUGUGUAACACACCUUUAAUCUCAGCACCAGGAGGCAGAAGCAGGAGGAUCUCUAUGAGUCCAAGAUUAGCCUAGUGUACAUAGAGUUCCAGGUUAGCCAAGGCUAUUAGUGAGACCCUAUCUCCAAAGCACAAAAUAACUUUACUUGGCCUGGUGAUACAUGCCUGUGAUCCCAGCUGUUAGAUACAGGCCCCUACCUGGACGUCCCUUUGCAGAACCUGUUUGCUUCAAGAUAGGAUGUUAUGUUCUGCGAGAAAAAAACAUCCUGCCUUUUGCAGUUCGGCCGGUUUGCAGGUGGCAAUGAGUCGGCCCCAAUUGGGGGUUUCCUCCUUGUAUUUUUUCAUCCCCCUCAUGCUGCUCAGUAUAAAUGGAGCAGAGAGGAAUAAAAAUUGGCAUUCUUCCUUGA